AUUGAACGCUGGCGGAAUGCUUUACACAUGCAAGUCGAACGGCAGCACGGGAGCUUGCUCCUGGUGGCGAGUGGCGAACGGGUGAGUAAUGCGUCGGAACGUGCCGAGUAAUGGGGGAUAACGCAGCGAAAGUUGUGCUAAUACCGCAUACGCCCUGAGGGGGAAAGUGGGGGAUCGCAAGACCUCACGUUAUUCGAGCGGCCGACGUCUGAUUAGUUAGUUGGAGGUGUAACGGACCCCCAAGACGACGAUCAUUAGGGGAACUGAGAGGUUGAUCCCCCACACUGGCACUGAGAUACGGGCCAGACUCCUACGGGAGGCAGCAGUAGGGAAUAUUGGUCAAUGGGUGAGAGCCUGAACCAGCCAUGCCGCGUGCAGGAAGACGGCCUUCUGGGUUGUAAACUGCUUUUAUCUGGGGAUAAAAUGACCGUGCGCGGUUAAUUGAAGGUACCAGAUGAAUAAGCACGGCUAACUACGUGCCAGCAGCCGCGGU
rnacentral:rRNA from 1 species